CCUGAGAAACCCAAAAGAUCGAUCGGGGAGAUUCAUCGUCAGCGAUCCUGGUACGUGCGCGGUGUGCGAUGUCGCGGUACUUCGGUCCGAGGCACGCGCCCAUGUUUUCGUUUGCCAGGAGUCGUCGGCGUGCACUUCUCCCCUAGUAGGACGUCGCGACCCGUUGGGUGUCGGUCUACGGCCCGGGUGGUAAGCCUGUCGUGUGUCGGCCUCGUGUCGACAUGCGGCAGACCCCCGAUUGCCCGACCGGCUGCCCGGCGGUACUCGCACGGUAUCGGGCCGCAAAUAUUCGAACUGCGUCCGGCCCGCCGCAAGCGAGGUUAGUGUUUCCCGGAUGUGCGGACCUAGUGCCGUCACCGGGCCUGGCCAGCUGUUGGUCGGCGGUGUCCUGGGACAGGCUCAAAAAAAUUAUGAUACCGGUCGGCGACGCUACUGCUUUGGGUACUUUCAGGACCCGUCUUGAAACACGGACCAAGGAGUCUAACAUGUGCGCGAGUCAUUGGGAACUCGAAAGCCUAAAGGCGCAAUGAAAGUGAAGGUCGGCCUCGCGCCGACCGAGGGAGGAUGGGCCGCGUCACGAUGCGGUCCCGCACUCCCGGGGCGUCUCGUUCUCAUUACGAG
rnacentral:rRNA from 1 species